rnacentral:rRNA from 1 species
CACGUAGGGUGCGAGCGUUGUCCGGAAUUAUUGGGCGUAAAGAGCUCGUAGGCGGUGUGUCGCGUCGGCCGUGAAAACCUGCAGCUUAACUGUGGGCUUGCGGUCGAUACGGGCAUCACUGGAGUUCGGCAGGGGAGACUGGAAUUCCUGGUGUAGCGGUGAAAUGCGCAGAUAUCGGGAGGAACACCUGUGGCGAAGGCGGCCCCCUGGUUGGAUACUGACGCUGAGACGCGAAAGCGUGGGGAGCAAACAGG